CGUAGGUGGCAAGCGUUAUCCGGAUUUACUGGGCGUAAAGGGUCCGACGGUGGGACAGGUAGUCUGGUGUGACAUCUCCCGGCUUAACUGGGAGGGUGCGCCGGAAACUACCUGUUCUUGAGUCAUGCAGAGGGGGCGGGAAUUCCCGGUGUAGUGGUGGAAUGCGUAGAGAUCGGGAGGAACCCCAACCGGCGCAAGCAGCCCCCUGGGCAAGGACUGACACUCAAGGACGAAAGCGUGGGGAGCGAACAGGAUUAGAUACCCUGGUAGUCCACGCCGUAAACGAUGGAGACUCGGAAUGGGGGGACUAGACCCCUUCCGUUCCUCAGCUAACGCGUAAGUCUCCCGCCUGGGAACUACGACCGCAAGGUUA
rnacentral:rRNA from 1 species